UAGUAACCUACUAGAAGAAUUGGAAAAUACGAACAACAGUUUAAACACCAAAGAAUUUGGCGGUGUCUUAUUUAAUUAGGGGAACCUGUCUCAUAAACGAUAAUCCACGAAAAUCUUACCUAAUUUUGAAACUCAGUUAGUGUACUGCCGUCUUAAGUAUACCUUUAUAAGUGUAUACAACUAAUUAUAAAUAAAUUAUACGUCAGGUCAAAGUGCAGCUUAUAAUUAGGUGAUGAUAGGUUACAAUCUUAAUAUAGAUACGGAAAAUUAUAAUAAAUUAUAAUUUAAAGGUGGACUUAAUAGUAAUUAAAUAAAAUUUUAAUGAAUACAAUACUAAGACAUGCACAUAUCGCCCGUCACUCCUUAAACGGAUAAGUCGUAACAUAGUAGAUGUAACGGAAGUUGCAUCUGU
rnacentral:rRNA from 1 species